AUAUUAACCAGUACCUCUUGAAUUUCAGUACACUCUGUACAUUGUAAUGGGGGCCAAUUGUGAUUUCAGAGAGGUAUGUGUAAAUCUUUUACGCACUGCCAACAGACCGACGUGAAUGUUUUCAUAGUUACUGUAUGUUGUCAUAAAAUCAUUAAGGUCUGAGGAAGACCGAUUGCAGGACAGAAAACGCCGACGAGUGCAAGGAGGGCUACAGACGCUUGGAAAUUGACGGACCUGGAAACCGGGAACAGGGUUGCUUGCUAUGGGCCAGGUACUUGAUAAUACCUUGAUACUUGCCUUUGUCAAACAUUUAUGGAAGCUUUUUUUUUUCUCCUUUACAGAUCAACAUUUUUGCCUGGGGUGAAAAUAAAAAUCAAUGAUGCA
ensembl:lncRNA